CAGGAAGCCUAACGAGUGAAGCAGCGCGCGACAGCCCAGCUGGCUUCUGGAGAGCGCGAGCAAGGGAGGGGGAAACAAGACACGCAGCCCCUCCACAAAGUCCUCGAACGUGCCCCGGUCCUUUGACUUGGAUAUGUGCUGGAACAUGGGCAGGAAGGUCUCAAAGUCCAUGAGCUUGGUGUUCAGUUCUACAGUCAAAACAAGCAAAACAAGCC